UGAUUAAAAUUUAUUUAAUGAUUUUAAAUAUCUCGAAAAUAAGGGAGCUAAAUUUAUAUUAUUUUUUUUGUAGCAAUAAAAUUAUAAAUAUAGAUUUAGAAAUUAAAUGUUAAACGAACUUAUUAAUAUCUAGUUUUUUUAGAAAUAAAUUUAAUUUAGAUAUAAUUAUUUUAGUAAAUUAAAUUUUAUUUUAAUUUAUUAAUUUUUAUAUUAAAAAUUUAUGGGAUAAUCUAUAAAUUUAAGAUAAAAAUUUAAUUUUAAUUUUUAAUGUUAUAGAGAUAAUAUUUUUCUUUAAUUUUAAUAAUUUAAUAAUUUAAUAUUUAUAAAUUAAUAAUGAUUUAAAUUUAUAUUUUAUUUUUCUAUAAAAAUUUAUAUUUUAAUUAAUAAAAUAUAGAAAUAAUGAUUAGAUUAGUAAUAAAGUUAUAUUUUAUAAUGAUAUUUUGUAUUAUAUAAUUUAAAGGAAUUCGGCAAAUAUAUUAUUCACCUGUUUAUCAAAAACAUGUCCUGUUGAUUAUAAUUUUAGGUCGAUCUGCUCAAUGAAUUAUUUUAAAUAGCUGCAGUAUGUUGACUGUACAAAGGUAGCAUAAUAAAUUGUCUUUUAAUUGAAGAAUUGUAUGAAAGAAUUAAUGAAAUAAUAACUGUCUCUAAAUUAUUAAAUGAAUUUAAAUUUUUAGUUAAAAUUCUAAAAUUUAAUUAUGGGACGAUAAGACCCUAUAGAAUUUAAUUUAAUUUUUAAAUUUAUUUAUAAUUUUAAUAAAUAUAUUUAAGAUUAAAUUUGAUUGGGAGGAUUGGUAAAUUUAAUAAACUUUAUUUAAGAUUUAAUUUUGAUAUAAAGAUAAUUUUUUGAAUUAUAAAUUGUAAUUAAAAGAAUAAAUUACCUUAGGGAUAACAG
rnacentral:rRNA from 1 species